ACAAAGCUGCCACCUGCUUUUCCAGCUCAGAAUAUCAGUGCUUGGUUUGGUUACAGAGGAUAAUAAAUAUAAGGCAUAUUUUAAUUUAUCUUUGCUUGAUGGCAGCUUAUCCAGGUGUCCAGUCGGAGGUUCAGCUGGUCCAAUCUGGGGCAGAAAUGAAGAAGCCCGGAGAGUCUGUGAAAAUAUCCUGUAAAACCUCAGGCUUCACUCUCACCGACUACUAUAUGUAUUGGAUCAGGCAGACUCCUGGGAAAGGACUGGUUUGGGUUGGAAGAAUUGACCCUGAAGAUGGUGCUACUAGCUAUGCUGACUCCAUGAAAAACAGAGUCACCAUCUCGACAGAAAACUCCAUCAGCACCGUGUAUCUGCAACUCCGCAGCCUGAGAGCGGAAGACACGGCUGUGUAUUACUGUGCUAGACACACAGUGAGAGACACCUAG